rnacentral:rRNA from 1 species
UACGGAGGGGGCUAGCGUUGUUCGGAAUCAUUGGGCGUAAAGCGCGUGUAGGCGGCCCGGUAAGUCCGCUGUGAAAGUCGGGGGCUCAACCCUCGGAUGCCGGUGGAUACUGUCGGGCUAGAGUACGGAAGAGGCGAGUGGAAUUCCUGGUGUAGCGGUGAAAUGCGCAGAUAUCAGGAGGAACACCGAUGGCGAAGGCAGGUCUCUGGGCCAUAACUGACGCUGAGAAGCGAAAGCAUGGGGAGCGAACAGG